GCUUUAUCAUUUAGUCUUUAGGUAACAGAAUGUUCCAUGGGACGAUGACUAAAUUUGAAGAUUUAGCCAGCGAUGGAUACAAGAACUCUUGGGAGUCUGUGUCUUCUCUUGAGGGAAAGCACAGAUCCUCAUGGAACUCUCUCGAGGGGAAUCCAAGGACGGAGGCCGCCAUCAGCACAACACAGCCUCUCCUACCGGUAACACUGCCACCUUUGGCUCUUGUGAUUCAUGCCGCUACGAACGUCUACCCAGAAGCGUAAUUGCCAGAUCGCAUGGCUGUCUCUGUGCUGAGGACCAGCCUGAAAUGUAAACUUCGGGUCUUCUCAGAGAUCUUUUCCAAGCCUUUCCCUGGGCAAGUACAAUCACUUUCUGAUUUUCCCCGUGUAUGUAGUUGCUUCUGAACGUUCCAGUCUUUAACAUCUGGCUCCCAAAAGGAGAAAUAGGGAAAAAUGAAGGGAAGGGUAGUAAUGGCACCAGCUUUUUAAAUCUCCAAGAAGUCACUUGAGCCAGAUAGGGUCCCGGGUGGAUCACUUGCCGCAGUGAGGACAGGUACAAAGCAAUGACUGCCUGCUUCUUUGUCUGCACGUCUGUGAUCAGAAGCAGCAACCAGCAACCUGGUAUUUGGAGUACUGGGUCCUUUUUGUCCCCCUUGGCUCCCACAGGCUCUGAACAGGUGGCUCCAGAAACACACACAUGACUGCCUUCCGCAGGGUGGAGGUGGGGGAUGGGUAACGCUCCGGUGAAAUUAACUGCAAUUUACCAUUCACGGCUUCGCGGGAAGUUGCGCUCUUUCAAUAGUCUGCAGAGUUCCAAAAGAGGUAUAAUCUGGCAAAUUCUGCCAGUGCAAUUGUCUUGAUGGGAAGACAGAUGUCUGGUGCUUUUUA